rnacentral:rRNA from 1 species
GAUGUCGACGAGGGCCGAACGGGCGAGUGAUACAUCGGAGCGUGCGCGAUCGUGGGGGAUAUCAUAGCGUAAGCUCUGCUAAUACUGCAUCCGAUCUACGGAUGCAAGCACGGGAGAUCAAGUCCUUGCUCGGACGGAGCGGCCGAUGGCAGAUUAGGUAGUUGGUGGGAUAAAAGCUUAUCAAGCUGACGAUCUGUAGCUGGUCUCAGAGGCAGUCCAGCCACACAGGGACUGAGACACGACCCAGACUCCUUCGGGAGGCAGCAGUGGGGAAUUUUGGACAAUCGGUGAAAGCGUGAUCCAGCCAUGCCGCGUGCAGGAUGAAGGCCUUCGGGUUGUAAACUGCUUUUGUACGGAACGAAAAGACUUCUUCUAAUACAGGAGGUCCAUGACGGUACCGUAAGAAUAAGCACCGGCUAACUCAGUGCCAGCACCUUCGUUAAUCCGUAGGCAGCAAGCGUUAAUCGGAAUUCCCGGGGUUAAAGAUUGCGCAGGCGGUUAUAUAAGACAGAUGUGAAAUCCCCGUCAUCACCAUGGGAACUGCAUUUGUGAUCGUACAACUAGAGUAUGGUAGAGGGGGAGGGAAUUUCGCCCGCAGCAGUGAAAAUCGUAGAUAUGCGGAGGCACUCGGAUGAGGCAGGCAAUUCCCCGGACUUGAUCCAACGAUCAUACACGAAAGCGUGGGGAGCAAACAGGAUUAGAUACCCUGGUAGUCCCCGCCCUAAACGAUGUCAACUCCGGUUGGCUCUUCACAGCCCCAGUAACCAAGUUACCGCGUGAAGUUCACCGCCUGGGCAGUACGCCCGCAUUCAAU